rnacentral:lncRNA from 1 species
ACAGUCUUCUUGCAUAUCUGGGCUCAGUCUCUGUACUCUCACUGCAAGCCUGAGAGGAAUGCAUUGAGAGGAUGGCAUGAGGAAGCACUUUUUCCUAUGUGAGGUCUUGAGAUUUUUCAUGCCAAAUGAUGUGGGAUCUGGAAAGAUGGGCGAAUAGGAAUAGCUCUGGUCUACAGCUCCCAGCAAAACCAACACAGAAGGAACUGCCAUACUUUUUUACACAGCAGCUGCACCAUUUUACAUUCCCACCAGCAAUGCACAACGGUUCUGAUUUCUCUAUGUCUUGUGAUUACUGCUGAAAGCAUCCUGAGUGACACAAACUUGAAGCAUGCAAGAGGACUAAAUAACUUCCAAAGUCACACAUAUUGCAUGUCAAGAGCCAGCUUCAAACUCAAGUCCCUGUGACCAGAGGUCGAUGCUCUAAACACAUUUCUGCAUGACCUGCUUGUGGCAGCCUGGAGAAAUUCUACAUAAAUCUUCUCAGAUUCCAGAGGCUGCGAGGUCUGAGAUCAAGGAUCUGACACCUGGUGAGGGCCUUUUUGCUGCAUCAUUUCACAUAGAGACAAAAAGAUUCUCACCUGUAAGCUUGAAUUAUGUCUACAUCAUGCUUGGGAAAUGUCCAUAUAUUCUAAGCUUGAAACUGCAGUGAUGAGGACGUCACCACUUCCAGAGAGAACACUUUACUACCAGGCAACUUGAGUACAAUAGGCAGCCACAAAUAUCAUCCUUGCUAGCCAGGAAUGACAAGGAGCAAGCCACAUGAGGAGUCAGAAAAGAUUAUUCCAGGCAGGGCUGAGAUCUGCAUUAUGGUCUGGAGGCUGCCCCAGUCUCUCCUUUACCUCCAUAUUUUUCUCACAGAGAAAGGGUCUCACUGUUCUGCUCAGGCUGGACUAGAACUCCUGGGUUCAAGUGAUGUUCCUGCUGCAGCUUCUUCAGUAGCUGUGACUACAGACGAACCACAUUGGUCUCUGAAAGGAGAAUGGACCUGGAGAACAAGACAGGAAGACAAUAUCAGAAACUGAAGAAAAGGAAAAGAAAUUUAUCCAAGAUAGGAGUCUACAGAAUCUGGCUCUCUCUAUAUAUGAUGAUGAUUUUACAAGGAACAUGCACCAUGAAAGGCCAUGUGAGCACACAGCAAGAUGAAAUCUUCCAUCUGCAAGCCAGGAAGAAAGCCUUCACUAGAACCUAACCAUUAUGGAACCCUAACCUUUGACUUCCCGCCUCCAGAUUGCCAGAAAAUGUCUGUUGUUUAAUCUACACUGUUUAUGGUAUUUUAUUACAGCGGCCCAAGUAGACUGAGACAACUGGAGAGCUACUUUGUUUCCUGUGUGUAUGUGUUUUCAGUUCAGCUUUUAUUUGCUUUUCUUUCUCUUUCCCCUCUCCUUGCUCCCUUUCUCUUUCCACUUUCCCACUUUUUUUUUUUUUUUUUUUUCUUAAAAUUAGACCCAAAAACCUGUCCUUGAGACAGCCAAGUUGGCCUUUAAGGGCAGCGUUUACAUGACUUCCAGUCUUUUCUUAAUUGACUAUCUCUGAAAAAUGUAGUAGGCCACUUUAAUUUUCAUACUUUUAGUCUUUCUUCCCACAUAUUGCAGCAUCACACCUUCUAUUCCUCAAUGCCUCUUGUCCUCCUUGCCCAACAUGUUCAGAAUCUAUGCUAAAGAAAGGGCUGUUCCUAUGUGAGUGCAUGCUAUGUGCAUAAGAGAAUGGUACUUUCUCAUUGCAGAGAAAAAUAGAUAAAUAAAUAAAACCUUUUUCCUCUCUUGUGGGCUGAAAUAUGUUCUCCCAAAAUUUACAUAUUGAAGCCCUGAUCCCUAGUACCUCAGAAUGUUACUGCAUUUGUAGGUAGUACAUUACAGAAGGUAAUAAAGUUAAAAUUAGGCCAUAGUGUGAGUCUUAAUGGUAUCUCACUAGUGUCCUUACAAGAGAAGAUUAGGGUUUACAGAGAAACACUAAGAUUUCACAGGCACACACUAAGAAAAAAAGACCAUAUUAAGGGACAGUGAGAAGAUGGUCAUUUCCAAGUGAAGGAGAGAGGCCUGAAAAGAAACCAAACCAGCUGAUACCUUGAUCUUGGACUUCCAGCCUCCAAAAUAAAUUUGUACAGUUUAAGCCCAUCUUGUCCAUGCUAUAUUGUUACAGCAGCAUGCGCAAACUAGUACCUCCUUUUUAAGGCAUUUGGAACAUUGAUGAGAGAGGGGUGUGAUUUUUGAGGGCAGAAAAUCUCAGCACGUUUGAUAUCACAUCAGUAAACAAUAAUCUACUCUACAUUGGCUUUGAUGAGCAAGUAGGAUUUUUAUUCUAGUUUGGCUUAGAAUCAUAAAAUCAUAAUAACCUUAGAUACUACCUAUUUCAAUCUCCUCAUUUUAUAUGUAAUGAUACAGAGGUGCAUAUGGAAGAACUGACUUGUCCAAAGCCCCACAUUAGUUUUUGAUCAAGUCAGGACUACAGUUCAAAUACUUCAACUUCCAGUGCUCUUUUUGGCUACUGUAUAAAAUGUCAUAUCUCAUUUUUAUGUUUUUCCAUCAAUUCUGUUGUAUUUACUAACCAUCAUAGUCUAAGCAUUUACCUUUUCAAAAUAUUUUUGUUUUCUCUCAAGUAUUUAUUUUGGAAUACAUAUUUUUUCUACCUGAGUUUACUAUCUUGUAGGCUGAAAGAUUUUCAGGGAAUACACCAACAAGUUUUUCCACUUCUUGGAUUCUUUUCCUCAGUUUUUAAAUUAUGAUGGUUUUCACCUAUGCUUCCCAGCUCCAUUAAAAAGUUGGUUUUGCUGAAAUAAACCUGCAUAUUUUUGUUUACUAAAUGUACUGAAUUUGUAAUUGUAGACCUUAAUUUGAUUAUAACCACUGUCCUUGAAUUUUCUUCACUCCUGUAUUACUAGAUUUCCUCACCACUACCACCACCAACACCACCACCACACACAUAAAGUCCCUGGCUGUUUCCAUUUUUAAUUCUGCUUUCCUGAGCUACAAAAGAGCCUUUGUUAUAUCCUCACAGGGAAUGUUGAUGCCUUGUGAAGUCUAAGGAUGGCUUUGUCAGAUAGAGUCUUGGCACAGCCUCAAAUAAGUACUCAAUCUUCAUAUGUUGAUGCUAUGUAUAGACAUGUGUGGUACUUUGUAGGCAUUUUGAAGACCAUCUCUGAUCUUUUUUCAAAUAAGAUAGUUCAAUUUUAACAUCAGAUUGAAGCUGUACAGAAUUUCAUUUUCAAUGGUUGAAAGUGGAUUUUAAUCAAAGGGUUAUCAUGAUGAUGAAAGGAAUUGUUUCUAGGAGACAUAAAAGUUUACAAAGCAAUUUUAUAUACAGGAUUCCAUAUGCUCUUUACAUUAAGCAUGUGGAAGUUUACUGUAUGAAUGUUAUAUUCAUUUUUCAGGUGAGCAAAUGGAUAACAAGAAAUCUUUAACAACUGACUCAAAGACAAACCACUAAAUUGAAACCCGUAAUCUUUGUCUCUAGUCCCUUCCAUUUUAUUCUCUUUUGUUUUUGUUUUUUUUUUUUGCACGUUGCAUUUUUGCAUUUCUAUAUCAGUUAGUGUAUUAUUUUAUUUGUGAAACAUUUUAAUGAAUUUUUCUAGGACACAAGGAUAGAAAAAUAAGCUGGAACUAAAUGAAAUUAAUGGUUAGUUCCAGUUAAUACUCAGAUACUUAAAAAAAAUCACCAGUUAAUUAAUUUAGUUCUGUCUUCAAACUAAUUUAUAUUUUUGAAUAUAGUUUCAGUUACUUAUGACCUAGAGUUUUUAAUGCCUAAUUCUGACCUACAGUGCUCUACUGGGUAAGAAAUACAGCCCCACACCAUAUCUGAACCUUCCUUAGUGGUCAUGAGGGUCUGUUUGACAAUAUAAUACAGCUUAGAAGCUUGGAAAAGGCCUGAUAUUUCAGAGGUUAGUAGCUUCUCAGACCAGGCUUUGGAGCUUGUCUUUCACCAAUAAGGCAACAAUAUACCUAACCUCUAAGGCUCAUUAAAAAAAAAAAUUCUAAAAAAGGAAAUGACUAGAGUAUCUCUAUCAUGUGUUUGUUAGAAACAUCUAAUAAAAUAAUACAUGAACAUUGCUCAGCACUGUGUGAUACCUUGCUCCUAGACACUUACCUUUCUAAAAUCAAAACGAAAAAAUCAAAGUUUCAAAUGUUUUGUGCCUUCAUUAUGAAAACCAAAUUCUGUGUGCGUGGCUUCAUACUCAAAAUCAUUCACAAUUUCAAUUUGUCUUAGCAUUUCAAUUUCACCUCCCACCCUGACUGACAAGUUUCUUCCCAACCACUCUAAAGUAACCACCAUCCUUUGUUACCUAAUCUGCUCUACAAUUCCUGUUUCACUAAGCAUUUGCAUUUUCUUUAUCCUGCUGCCAUUUUUUGGAAGAUCCUCUCCUCCUGCAAAAGUCCCUCAAUUCUUCAAUUGAAGUACAAUGAACAUUUAUUGCUUUGCUCUUCAUUCCCAAGCUGCUUCACCCCAAUCCCAUAUCCAUAGUAAUUUUUGUUAUAUUCAGGCCUUCAGCUGAUUGGGAGGGCAUUACAGAGGGCAGAUCACGUUAAGGACGGCAAACUCCUUUACUCAAUCGACCAAUUUAAGUGUUAAUGUCAUCUCAAAAUGCCCUUGCAGGAAGACUCUGAAUGUUUUACCAAAUAUCUGGGCAUCCCAUGGCCCAGUCAAGUUGACAAAAUAAAAUUAACCAUCACAGACUCCUUUGUUGAUCUUGCUCAUGUAACUUCACCCAAAUUGUUUUUAUCCCUGUGUUCUUUGACCUGGGAUUGAGAAUAACACAUCCAACCCCCUGCUUUGAUGUUAGUGUGCAAGAUGACAUCAUUUUAGGGAAUUCAUUGUAUCUAUUAGUAAGAUUGUUCAAUAGAAAAGUAGUACUUUUUUCAUUAUCAGCUUACAAAGAUGAAAAUAAAAAAAUAAAAUAAAUUUUAUCUCAAUGACCCUGAAGCCAAGAUGAAUUUUCAUCUUUUACAUGAAUGAAUAAAAAUAAUUUCCAGGCUGAGUGUAGU